rnacentral:pre_miRNA from 1 species
AGUGGAAUAACUGAGUCAAAUAGUAGUCCCAUUUCAAGUUUUCUGAGGAAUCUCCAUAUUGCUUUCCAGAGUGGUUGCAACAAUUUGCAGUCCCACCAGCAAU